CAUUAUUUAUUGUACCCAGGCAUCCAGAGCACUACCGCUUCAUCGCCAUAGGCCACCACCACCUACCCAAGAUCAUACACUUCCACCACAAUUACCACACUCAUAUAUUUUCUCGUCCAUUUCAACAAUCUAAAAGCCACAGUCACUACACACAGUUUUACGUCCACACCAGAACCAGCACAAGUUACAGUCUACAGGGGCUAAAACCAUUGGAUACGAAGGGAAGAAC
rnacentral:lncRNA from 1 species